CCCGGGCCCCCGGCCGCGCCCCGCCCCGCCCCGCCUGCCCCUCCGCGCGGCUCCCGGGCGACCGGCGCUCCCGCCUCCCGCCUUUCCCGCUGCUUGCCGGGUCCCGGCCCGGCGACGCGCGCUCACACCCUCCUCCCGAGCCGCCCUCACGCCGAGCGCUGCGGACGGGGGCGCGCAACCUGCCGCCGGCCGGGACCCUGCGGCGAGUGCCGGAACCCGGCCGGGCGGGGCCUCCCGCGGCCCGGCCGCUUUAUUGGGUCACCGGCCUCGCCCACCGCCCUGCCAGCCGCAGCCAUCUCGGCGGGCGCGCCGCUCGCAGCCAGCGCCCCAUCCCCAGGCCUGCACGAGCUGAACACUGCCCCGAGAAUGCAACAGAACUUCAGCUCUGUCCCAAGGUCGUCAGCCACAGCUCCAAGUUUCUUAGCAUCAGCUUUUUCUGAACAAAAUAGUGCAUCCUGCUGGAAUCACUACUGUAAACUGAGUAUAAAGGAAAAUAAACCCUCUUUUUCUUAUCCACUAUGUUCCCUACUCCCGUGCUUUUCCCAGUGCUCCAGAAACAAUUACAGAUUUACAUGAAGUUUCAAAUGAUGUGCCAGGAUGUCCUAUGUCACUUUCACAUCAGUUCCCCCAAUGGAAAAAAAUGAAGAAGAAGAGGAGAAAGAAUAAGAGGAUGAAGAGGGGAGGAAUAGAAAAAGAAAAUGUUUACCUGAUUUACUAUGAUUAUUUAAUACUAAUUAUUUUGCUUUUUGCAAUAAAGUGUUGCAAAACUUUGCCUUUCCCCAGGCAAAUGGGAGAAAUAAGUGUGCACCUUAUCUUUUUUUUCCUAUCCACCGUUUCUCUCUCGCCCUUCACUUUUUCCAUCCCCUUUAAGUCUUCA
rnacentral:lncRNA from 10 species